ACUCCUACGGGAGGCAGCAGUGAGGAAUAUUGGACAAUGGGUGGAAGCCUGAUCCAGCCAUCCCGCGUGCAGGAAGACGGCCCUAUGGGUUGUAAACUGCUUUUAUCUGGGGAUAAACCUACUUACGUGUAAGUAGCUGAAGGUACCAGAAGAAUAAGCACCGGCUAACUCCGUGCCAGCAGCCGCGGUAAUACGGAGGGUGCAAGCGUUAUCCGGAUUUAUUGGGUUUAAAGGGUCCGUAGGCGGACUGAUAAGUCAGUGGUGAAAUCCGACAGCUUAACUGUCGAACUGCCAUUGAUACUGUUAGUCUUGAGUAAGGUUGAAGUGGCUGGAAUAAGUAGUGUAGCGGUGAAAUGCAUAGAUAUUACUUAGAACACCAAUUGCGAAGGCAGGUCACUAAGUCUUAACUGACGCUGAUGGACGAAAGCGUGGGGAGCGAACAGGAUUAGAAACCCGGGUAGUCCCAUGAU
rnacentral:rRNA from 1 species